AACGAACGCUGGCGGCAUGCCUAACACAUGCAAGUCGAACGAGACCUUCGGGUCUAGUGGCGCACGGGUGCGUAACGCGUGGGAACCUGCCCUUAGGUUCGGAAUAACUCCCCGAAAGGGGUGCUAAUACCGGAUAAUGUCUUCGGACCAAAGAUUUAUCGCCUUUGGAUGGGCCCGCGUUGGAUUAGCUAGUUGGUAGGGUAAAAGCCUACCAAGGCGACGAUCCAUAGCUGGUCUGAGAGGAUGAUCAGCCACACUGGGACUGAGACACGGCCCAGACUCCUACGGGAGGCAGCAGUGGGGAAUAUAGGACAAUGGGCGAAAGCCUGAUCCAGCAAUGCCGGGUGAGUGAUGAAGGCCUUAGGGUUGUAAAGCUCUUUUACCCGGGAUGAUAAUGACAGUACCGGGAGAAUAAGCACCGGCUAACUCCGUG
rnacentral:rRNA from 1 species